GAUGAACGCUGGCGGCGUGCCUAAUACAUGCAAGUCGAGCGAACAGACGAGGAGCUUGCUCCUCUGACGUUAGCGGCGGACGGGUGAGUAACGCGUGGAUAACCUACCUAUAAGACUGGGAUAACUUCGGGAAACCGGAGCUAAUACCGGAUAAUAUAUUGAACCGCAUGGUUCAAUAGUGAAAGACGGUUUUGCUGUCACUUAUAGAUGGAUCCGCGCCGCAUUAGCUAGUUGGUAAGGUAACGGCUUACCAAGGCAACGAUGCGUAGCCGACCUGAGAGGGUGAUCCGCCACACUGGAACUGAGACACGGUCCAGACUCCUACGGGAGGCAGCAGUAGGGAAUCUUCCGCAAUGGGCGAAAGCCUGACGGAGCAACGCCGCGUGAGUGAUGAAGGUCUUCGGAUCGUAAAACUCUGUUAUUAGGGAAGAACAAAUGUGUAAGUAACUAUGCACGUCUUGACGGUACCUAAUCAGAAAGCCACGGCUAACUACGUG
rnacentral:rRNA from 1 species